CCCAUGGAUGCUGUUUGUUCCCCGGAACGGAAAAUGUUCUAUUUUUGGCCACAAGAAUAUUUCUGAGAAAAAAACAGUUAAACAAAGCAUGGCGACAAGCUCGUUCGUGUCGUUGUCUGAGUUUCAAGAAGAGUUUGCUGCGUUUCGGGGAAGAACUUCUUCACGGAGGCAAGGGGUUGGAAGUGAUAGGAGAAACUCUUCAACUUGGAAUCCUGAGAUAGGACUUGGGUGUCUGGGCAGAGGUUGCACAGAUGCCGUUUGGAGUAGCUACUUUGAGGACAAGAGACAAAAAGCCUGAGGAGAAAGUCACCAUGAAGGAAACAGAAAGAUUAAAGAGUGAGCAUGAUCUUUGAUCCAGAGCCCCCAUCUCGCCCUGGACUGCCUUCUUUUGGAAUUCCCUUGUGGAAAAAAAAAAAAAAAACCAAACUCUUAUUUGGUUAAAUCACUGCAAGUUAAAUUUAGUUUAUAUAUCACCACACUUAUUUCCAACUGAUUCAGAUUGGAUGUGGGAGCAGCAAGAUAGGAUAAUUCUAUUUUUUCCCCCUUUCUUCAAACAACUGUUCAAAUGGAAGACUGGGUGAGGAACAGAUUUUAAAUGGAGGUUGUGUGUGUCAGUAUGUAUAUGUUUGUGUCUCUGUGUGUGUGUGUGUGUUUGUGUGUGUGUGAGAGAGAGAGAGAGAGAGAGAAGAUGAAACCCAAGACUUCCAUUUUGGAUAGUUUAAGCUUGAGAUGUCUGUUAGACAUCCACAUUGUAAUGUUAACCAAACAGUUGGUUUUGUGACCUUGUCUUUCAAAGAAGCUCUGGAAUAAAGAUAGAAAUCUGGCAGUUGUCAGCAUAGAGAUGGUAUUUAAAGUCAUAUAAAUGGCUGAGAUUUCCCAGAGCAGGAGAGUGUAUAGAUGGAAGAGCAAAAGCUCCAUGGCUAAACCCUGAACAUGUCAGCAUUUAGAAGUAAGGAGAGGAAGAGUCGCUGUAAAAGAAGAAGAAAUAGCCUGUGGGGAUUACCAGGAGGGCAAAGUGAUGUCAAGACAGUGGGUUUCCUGGACCCACCUCGUUUUUGCGUGGCACACUCACGUUGUGCAGCACCCAUUGGACACUUUUUACAUCCUGCACUGGAUAUUACUUCUCUUCUUGUGUGUAGGCUGCUUUCCCUCUUGUUGAGAUUUCAGGUCUCCAGGGACUGGGGUCAUGUCUGUCCUUUGUAGUUCCCCAAACCAGGCACAGUACUUCACCUUGAGGCGAUGCUCACUAAUGCUUGGCAGUGGUAAUCUGUGCCUGCUGGGGGCAGGGAGAAAAAAGAGGGUGUUUAGAAACAGAAAGCUAGUUUGGAAAAAGAAAAAAUUGGAAAGUAUGCUCAAUCCUAGGUUGAAAGGCUCCUUGAGCAGUAGAAUGAGAUACAUUAUCUGACUAGAGAGAAGGGUUUUUAAGAAUUUUGAGAGCUUAAGUUGACUAUAGGUAAUAGGGCCUAGGAAAAAUCAGAAAGAUGAAAGAAGAGAUGGUGCAGAAUCCAAAAAUUUCAUGGUGUCAGGGUUCAGGUGCAGAGAGUAGCUUUCACCAGAAACACUAAGGGCUUAUAUUAGACUUUGAGCAGGAAAGGACGGCAUGUUCCCAGGGCUGGGAUGAGCUCAUGAUGGCUGCUGAGGUGAAAUAAAGAGGAAGGAACAAUAAAACCAAGAAUACAUGCUGACCCACAGUUAUGGCAUAGGCUUAUUCUCGAGAUUUCCUGCAGUGGUCUUUGGCACAAAGUGCUGAUGUCCUAUGAUGGAGGCCUAGGUUGUGGGAGGGAAGUAAAGCCCCGGGCUAGAAGGCCAAACUCCAAAUCAUUCACUUAUUCACACAUUCAUUCAUAUUUGGUAUGCAAUUACUAUAAGCAAGUCCUGAGAAUACGAUGGUGUAAAAGGCAAAACAUAUACCUGAUUUCAUGGAACUCAUAUUCUAGGGGUGGUUUGUGUAUAUAUGAG